CCUACGGGGGGCAGCAAUUAGGAAUCUUGCGCAAUGGGGGAAACCCUGACGCAGCGACGCCGCGUGCGGGACGAAGGCCUUCGGGUCGUAAACCGCUUUUGACGAGGAAGAAGAAUGUGACGGUACUCGUCGAAUAAGCCCCGGCUAACUACGUGCCAGCAGCCGCGGUAAUACGUAGGGGGCGAGCGUUGUCCGAAGUUACUGGGCGUAAAGCGCGCGUAGGCGGUCUUUUAAGUCAGGUGUGAAAGCCCUCGGCCUAACCGAGGAAGUGCGCCUGAAACUGGAAAGCUUGAGUACGAGAGAGGGGGACGGAAUUCCCAGUGUAGAGGUGAAAUUCGUAGAUAUUGGGAGGAACACCGGCGGCGAAAGCGGUUCCCUGGAUCGAUACUGACACUAAGACGCGAAAGCGUGGGGAUCAAACAGGAUUAGAUACCCGAGUA
rnacentral:rRNA from 1 species